AUUGGGCAAAAUUCUGAAAAAGUAGUUUCGGCAGAAUUAAUUUUAAUUUGGAUAAUUAAUUUUGGUUAAAAACUGUGAGGGUUAGACUGAGUUUAAAUAAAAAAUAAUUUUCUGAAAUAAUUUUGUAAAAUUGUUUGGCAAAAAAAAUUGAUAUGUGCAUAUAAUAAUUUUUUUAUCAAAGUUUUAUUUUAAAUAAUUUAAAAUUAGAAUUUAAAUAAAAAAUAAAUUUGAAUUAAAAUUUUAAAUUUUAAAUUUGCAUAAAAAUUUAAAAUUUGACAUUUUAAAUUUAUUUUU
rnacentral:lncRNA from 1 species